ACCUUCAGCACCUCCGCAACCUUCAGCAGGCCUGCCAGCUGCUCUUGAGCCACAUUCACCUCCCCACGGUACAUGUACUCCAGGAUGGCCUUGAUCUCGGAGUACUUGACGUCCUUGAGCACGACUAUGGGGUGCUUGCAAGAGACGCCACCGUCCACGGCCAGGGUCACGUCGGUGAACGCCUCGUUCUGCAGCAGCUCGUCGAACACCGUCAGCAAAUUCGAGCGGUGGUUGUUCCAUCGCAGGCAGUACUGCUGCGACGUGCUCGCCAUUAUGGUCGGAUGGUGGAGACGAGUCUGAAAGGAAGGAGACUGCUAGAAUUGGUCGGACGGAAGCGUCGCGGUUAAUAACGGCCCCCACGCCUCAAGGGAUGAUGGCGUAGAAGUUGUGACCAAUAAGGAACCAUUUUUCAGGUCGUCCAAUUCUGGGACUCUAAUUUUAAAUAAUAUAUUACUGUCAUCUUGUAAGUAAUAAUUGCAAUAUUGAGAGUAUUACUGGUACGAAGGUAUUCCAGAUCAUGGCAGUA